GAAGCAAAUCUUGCUAAUUCCAAUUAGCCCCAAUCUCUUCAAAUCCAACUCUCUCACGCCUCUCUCUUCAUUUGACUUCAACUUCAACACCACAUUUACAAACACCCAGAUAUGUGAGAUUCACUAAUUCACACCGGAGAAGAGAACCCAGCACAAAGAACCCUAAAUCGUCUCCGACUUAGAACCCUAAACCUUGUCCAACUCCUCUUGUCCUGGCGAUAGAGCCCUAGAAAGGUAGCUACAUCCUACAAUUGGUCAAAAUCUUUGCAUCUUUCGGGAUAAACAAGCCCCAUCGGAGCUCAUUAACGUUGUAAACAAUAUCGAGAUGAGGUAUUUUACCCUUUCUCUUCUCUCACCUGUCGAUUUGCUUAUCCCACUAACAUAGAUCGGGUUUGUUUCUUUGUUUUCUUUCAAGAUCUAACUUUUGAGAGCUAAUGUGGUACGCAUUGAAACCUAGAAGUGGUUGAUGGUGUCUACCUGAAGAGCUUCGGUUGAAGCUUCAAGAGUUUUGUAUUUUUCCAGAAUUCCCAAAUUGUAAAAGGUCCAUAUCUUCCUAGUUCAAUUUUUUUAUUACUCAAACUUAAACUUGGGUUUCAUCGUGAAGCUAGAAAUGUAUUCUAUUUGCUAUCGAGUUCGAAUCUUUUUUCCAAGGGUUUCAGAUUUUCAUAGGAUGAUGACAAGAGGGCAACAAGAUCAGCUUUUCUUCAUUGUUGAUCUUUACAAACGUAAUCUGUAUCCUCAAAUAAUAGAUACAAGGAUUAUAAAUCUGUAGCCACUAAACUAGUUAUUUUAUGAACUAAUUUUCUGCAAGUAAUACAAGAAUCAUUGCUUCAUGUUCU